AAUUGACGGGGACCCGCACAAGCGGUGGAUGAUGUGGAUUAAUUCGAUGCAACGCGAAGAACCUUACUACCCUUGACAUGUCCGGAACUUGCCAGAGAUGGCUUGGUGCCCGAAAGGGAAUCGGAACACAGGUGCUGCAUGGCUGUCGUCAGCUCGUGUCGUGAGAUGUUGGGUUAAGUCCCGCAACGAGCGCAACCCUUGUCAUUAAUUGCCAUCAUUCAGUUGGGCACUUUAAUGAGACUGCCGGUGACAAACCGGAGGAAGGUGGGGAUGACGUCAAGUCCUCAUGGCCCUUAUGGGUAGGGCUUCACACGUAAUACAAUGGUCGGUACAGAGGGUUGCCAACCCGCGAGGGGGAGCCAAUCCCAGAAAACCGAUCGUAGUCCGGAUUGCAGUCUGCAACUCGACUGCAUGAAGUCGGAAUCGCUAGUAAUCGCGGAUCAGCAUGUCGCGGUGAAUACGUUCCCGGGCCUU
rnacentral:rRNA from 1 species